rnacentral:rRNA from 1 species
AUUGAACGCUGGCGGCAGGCCUAACACAUGCAAGUCGAACGAGUGGCGGACGGGUGAGUAAUGUCUGGGAAACUGCCUGAUGGCGGGGGAUAACUACUGGAAACGGUCGCUAAUACCGCAUACCAUCAGAUGUGCCCAGAUGGGAUUAGCUAGUUGGGGGGGUAACGGCUCCCCAAGGCGACGAUCCCUUGCUGGUCUGAGAGGAUGACCAGCCAAACUGGAACUGAGACACGGUCCCGACUCCUACGGUAGGCAGCAGUGGGGAAUAUUGCACAAUGGGCGCAAGCCUGAUGCAGCCAUGCCGCGUGUAUGAAGAAGGCCUUCGGGUUGUAAAGUACUUGCAGCGGGGAGGCGUUACCCGCAGAAGAAGCACCGGCUAACUCCGUGCCAGCAGCCGCGGUAAUAC